AACGAACGCUGGCGGCAUGCCUAACACAUGCAAGUCGAACGAGACCUUCGGGUCUAGUGGCGCACGGGUGCGUAACGCGUGGGAACCUGCCCUUAGGUUCGGAAUAACUCCCCGAAAGGGGUGCUAAUACCGGAUAAUGUCUUCGGACCAAAGAUUUAUCGCCUUUGGAUGGGCCCGCGUUGGAUUAGCUAGUUGGUAGGGUAAAAGCCUACCAAGGCGACGAUCCAUAGCUGGUCUGAGAGGAUGAUCAGCCACACUGGGAGUGAGACACGGUCCAGACUCCUACGGGAGGCAGCAGUGGGGAAUAUUGGACAAUGGGCGAAAGCCUGAUCCAGCAAUGCCGCGUGAGUGAUGAAGGCCUUAGGGUUGUAAAGCUCUUUUACCCGGGAUGAUAAUGACAGUACCGGGAGAAUAAGCUCCGGCUAACUCCGUG
rnacentral:rRNA from 1 species